UAUUGGUGUAAUAAGAAUACAAGACAUUAGCUUAAUUUAAAUAAACAAGUGGUAAUGAAAUGAAAUAAAGUAACAAGAUUCAAUUUUAAGUGACAAGUAACUAACAGAAACUUUGAAUCAAUGCUAAACAAGAAUCCAUGAGCAAGGCAUCUCCAACACAUCUCAUGCUCUACGAUCUUCACCAAACCGUUGCGCCUCAAUCAUACCUCGAACCUCCACCUGCGGUUUCUUCUGUCUGAAUCUGACCUCUAACGACGUGCCCUCUCCAAAUCCGCGUCGAGCAGGUGUGAUUGUCUCUGAGCCACCAUAAUUUCUUCUUACGCGGUUGUUACUCGCGGGUUCUCCUAUGAGAUUGGGCUUCGGAUCGCCGCGGUUUUACUCCUCCGGGCGGCGCCUCCUAUCCAAACUUUGUCCAUCGUUGUCAAUAUCAAGACCAACACGGUUUCUACCUCCAAGCAUUGUCCCUCAAGCAACAUACAUCGAGCAUCGAUCAAUCCGGUUAGUCGGGAUCGAUCAAUCCAAUCCAAACCAACUUUUCCUAAUUUGCACAUUUUGUCCUCCAACUUUUGGUUAUUUUCAAAAUGACAGGAAAAUGCAUACAUUAUUUCAG
rnacentral:lncRNA from 1 species